rnacentral:rRNA from 1 species
CAGUUUUAGGUCGAGGCCCUCCACACAGCCACUUAUCUUCUCAAUCGCCGCCCCUCUCGUGCCAUCAGCAGCCACAGUCCCUACUUCCAACUCCAUGGCCUCCGCCCCACCUACGACCAUCUUCGAGUGUUUGGGUACUUGUGCUAUCCCAACACGUAUGCAACCACACCGCAUAAUCUUUAUCCUCGCUCCUCCUGUUGCAUUUUUCUUGGGUAUCCCCUCAAGCACAAGGGCUACCGCUGCUACGACCUCCAAUAUCGUUGCAUUAUUGUCUCUCGUCACGUUGUUUUUGACGAAAAUUCAUUCCCGUACGCACCCGAUGAUGUAUAA